UGACUCGAUAAGGUGAAUGUGGAGAGGAUGUUCACUGUCAUGGGAGUGUCCAGAACGAGAGGAUACAGCCUCAAAAUUGAGGGGCGAGCUUUCAGAACGUAGCAGCGAGAGGUAUCCACAAACAGAGGAGGCACUGUACACAUGUUAAAGGAGGAAGCUCUUCGGAAGAGGAGGAUUAGUGAUGAUGUCCGGACUGGUUGAAAAAUUUUAUCAUCCCUAUGUUUUCGACAUCACGUUGGGAAAACCGUUUGAUGGCAUUAAGCAAGUCUCUGUCAACCUGGAUGUGAAAACGGCGAAUGUGUGACUCGAGCUUUCUGAGAAUCCGAAGAGUAUGAGAUGUACCGGGAUCCAGAGGGAUCUCCUUGACACCGGGAAGAGGUUCAUAUACUGGCUUUGUGUGCUGGGAUCGGAAGAAUUCACAUCGGGGACACAUUACUGGGAGGUGGAUGUGGUAAGGAAUCGAAGCUGGAGUCUGGGAGUCGCCGCAGAGUCUCUGGAGAGGGUGGGACUGGUCAAACUGAGUCCGGAGAACAGAUUCUGCAUCAUCGGGCCAGUUGAUGACGUAAUCAAGGUUCUCACCUCCCCUGAAUCCCGUCUCCCUGCCGGUUGCAUGCCCAGAAGGGUGGGUGUUUAUCUCAGUAACGAUUGUUUUAUUCUACAACGCGGAGAUCAAGUCCCAUCUCCACACCUUGACUGGGAUUAAGCUCAUGGGGAAACUUUAUCCUUUAUUAGCGACUGGAUAUGAAAACCAGAUACUGAGAAUUGCUCCAGGUUUGAAAUCAGGUCGAUCCCGGGGCCAGCGUCAGGAUUAAGUCAAUGUGAAUAUAAAUGUGCGGAGAGUGAAAUAAACGUGAUAUGAGAAUUAUCGAUCCAUUAAUUUUAAUGCGUUAGCAGCAUCCAUCGACGGAACAGUAAAAACUGAGGAUUCAGCAGUAGCCAUGGGCGGCGGUUCCGGAGCUCCCCGCUUCUCCCGGGUCUUCAACUCCACCUUUACUAUAACUGGGACAGGUAGUGUUGGUGCUGACUGGAAGAGGGAAGUCAAAGUGAAUCUUUGUAAGGUGGAGCUUGUAGUGGUGUAACACACUCCCAGCAUGUCAGGUAACAUUUAUGGAGGGAAGUCGACAGGUGACGUUUCAAAUCAAAUCAAGUUUAAUUAUCAAUCAAACCAUAUACAGGUAUAGCUGAAUGAGAUAGAAUUCCUCUGGAGACAAAGUGCAAAGCAUUCAAAUUAGCAAGUAACAUAAUUCAAAAUAUGGAGCAAAGAAGCAUAUUCACUCAAAAGAAAAAAAAACGAUAUAUGACCAUAAGAUAUAGAAGCAGAAUGAAGCCAUUUGGCCCAUCAAGAAUUCUCCUCCAUUCAGUCAUGGCUGAUCAUUUCUUUGCUUAUUCAGCCCCAGUCCCCAGCAUUCUCCCCAUAACCUUUGAUGCCAUGUCCAAUCAACAACCGAGCACUCUCUGCCUUAAAUACCCCCAGCGACCUGGCCCCUACAGUUGUCUGUGGUAACAAAUUCCACAAAUUCAGCAUCUUCUGGAUAAAGAAAAUUCUCCACAUCUCUGUUUUAAAUGGACAACCCUCUAUCCAGAGUCUGUGCCCUUUUGUCCUGGAGUCUAGCCUCUCCCCCAUGGGAAACAUCCUUUCCACAUCUACUCUAUAUAGGCCUUUCAGCAUUAUGAAGGUUUCAAUGAGAUCUACCCUCAUCCUUAUAAACUUAAGCGAGUACAGACCCAGAGCCAUCAAACAUUCCUCAUUUGGUAACAUUUUCAUUGCCGGAAUCAUCCUUGUGAAUCCCCUCUGAACCCUUUACAAUGCCAGCAAAUCUUUUCUUAGAAGAGGAGCAUAAAAUACCACAAUACUCAAGGUGAGGCCUCCCCAGUGCCUUAUAAAGCCUCAGCACCACAUCCCUGCUCUGGUAAUCUCAACCACUUGAAACGAAUGCUGACAUUGCAUUUGCCUUCCGACUCAACCUGCAAGUUAAUCGUUCUGCACAAGGACUCCCAAUUCCCUUUUCAUCUCUGAAUUUUGGAGUUACUUCCCAUUUAGAAAAUUGUCUGUAGAUUUAUUUCUACUACCGAAGUGCAUGACCAUGCAUUUUCCAACAUUAUAUUUCAUUUGCCAUUUUGUUGCCCAUUCUCCGAAUCUCUGUGACCUUCUGCAGACCACCUGUUUCCUCAACAACAAUCUUCAUAUCAUCUGCAAACUUGGCAACAAAGCCAUCUAUUCCAUCAUCUGGCACUCUCGAACUUCCAGCAUACGGCAAGUGUCCUCCAGAUUGAAAACUGAUACAAAAUACAUAUUCAGUACAUCCGUCAUUUCCUUGUCCCACAUUACUACCUCGCCAGCAUCAUUUACCAGCGGUCCAAUGCCUAUUCUCGCCUCUCCCUUACACUUUAUUUAUCUGAAGAAA